ensembl:processed_transcript
AAAUUGAUGGGGUCAGGGAAUGAUAUGUGUAAAAAAUUAUUUUACCCCAUACAGAUUGGUAUGGUUGUGCCACAGAUUUAGAUUAUUAAAUGUUAAGUCUUAUUUUACUCUUAUUAUAUUUAUCUUUUUUUGCAGCUACAGCAAUUGAUGUUGAAAAACUGAUGCUACCAAUCACUCCUUAUUUGAUUAUUCAAGUAGUUCCUAUAUUUAAAAAAAAUAGAAAAAAAUAUGUUAAAACAACCACGGCUAGGCUAACCCUAACCCUAACAAUUGAAUACAAUUAUGAUUGUGAUGGAACUGGAAUGCGACACCAGUUACUCUUAAGUCAAGAACUGAAUAAAGCACAGAUUAUGGAGGGAUCUGCUGCUAAACUAACUGGAGGGAAGGAACCUUUAGUGUGGGUGAACAUACUACCUUGAUGUCCAACAAAGGCUGCACAAGAGCUCAUUUGAUAGCACAUAUUCUGUUUUGUCUACAUCUUUGACAACCUGGAAGUGCUUUGACAUCAGAUUAUCAGAAGUGCUCCUGCCCUUUUUCACUUCCAGUUUCCACAUCAUCAUUUGGACUCCAUUUUGUCUUGUAGCAGUAUUUUCACCUGUUUUUAAAAUUUUAAGAAUUUUUGAUGCAUUAAUUGUUGACUGGUUUUAAUUAUCAAUUGUUCAUUAGUGUUCUGUUGCUCUGUUAUAUUGAAUUAUUGCUACUGUUUUAGCAUGGUUUACAAAAUAAACUUUCAUUGUGAAGUUAAA